GUAGGUGAACCUGCGGAUGGAUCAUUGACGAACGUUCGAACCGCGCUGCCUCGGUAGUGCUGCUUCGAUCGGGAAAACAUAUCCACCCCCUCGCACCGCGCGCCGGUCCCCGCUUCUUCUCGAAGGAGCGUCGUCGGCCGCGAAGGCGAACCCACUUGCGAAGUCCCGUCCGCGCGGUUUUCAAACUCCGCGCGGAGGGCCGGCGUCUCUCCGGACACGUCGCGGUUCUGAGAUCUGAUCAGACCGCGACGGACUCGGUGGUGCGUCGACUCCAAAAGUCCCCCGUCGCCUUUCCCGGGCGCGGCGGGGGCCGGCGCGAGCAGACUGCGCGGCGUAAUGCCGCAGCAGAUAGCCCGUUCUUCAAAGCCGUUUGUUUUUUAUCCACACUGGUUGCGUGUAAAAACACUUGCUCACCGUCGCAACGUCCUCCAGGCUGCCUGGCCGGGGACCGCGAGACGUGACCAAAAAAACAUUGAUUUUCACUACUCUAUGCGGUGGAUCACUCGGCUCGUGCGUCGAUGAAGAGCGCAGCCAGCUGCGUGAAUUAAUGUGAAUUGCAGGACACAUUGAACAUCGACACCUUGAACGCACAUUGCGGCUUCGGGUCACUCCCGGAGCCACGCCUGUCCGAGGGUCGGCAAACUGUCAUCGCCGAGCUCCCGCUCUCCACGGAGGGCGCGUCGCUCGGCGCGUUGGGUGGUUCGCGCGCGUCUAUCUAGGUAGUCGCGCCCGUCCGCCGCACAGCUCAGCCGACGGGACGCGAGGGGAGACGCGGCCAGCACUGGCCCUCUCCAAUUUCAACCUCUCGUCCCAUCUGAUCUCCGCGAGCCCCCGGCGCGAGGAGACGUGGCGCGGAAACGUAUGCCCGUUCCUAGCACUAAAAUGGCGGGGCUCGCACUCCGACCUCGGAUCAGACGAGACUACCCGCUGAACUUAAGCAUAUCAGUAAGCGGAGGAAAAGAAACUAACAAGGAUUCCCCUAGUAACGGCGAGUGAAGCGG
rnacentral:rRNA from 1 species